rnacentral:rRNA from 2 species
CACGGGGGGAGCAAGCGUUGUUCGGAAUCACUGGGCGUAAAGGGCGUGUAGGCGGUCAAGUAAGUGGAAUGUGAAAGCCCCCGGCUCACCCGGGGAUCUGCAUCCCAAACUGCUUGGCUUGAGUACGGGAGAGGAUAGGGGAAUUCCUGGUGUAGCGGUGAAAUGCGUAGAUAUCAGGAGGAACACCGGUGGCGAAGGCGCCUAUCUGGCCCGAUACUGACGCUGAGGCGCGAAAGCUAGGGGAGCAAACGGG